rnacentral:tRNA from 1 species
GCGAGGGUGGCGGAACUGGUAGACGCACCAGACUUAGGAUCUGGCGCCUUUUGGUGUGGGGGUUCGACUCCCCCCUCUCGCACCA